rnacentral:tRNA from 1 species
GUGUCUGUAGCUCAGUGGAUAGUGUGUGCUUUCUAAGCAGGAGAUCGUGGGUUCAAACUCUACUUGACGCG